UGCAGGGCGGAGCUACCAUGCAGUCGAGCGGUAACAUAAGUACUUGCUACUUUGGUGACGAGCGGCGGACGGGUGAGUAAUGCUUGGGAACAUGCCUUGAGGUGGGGGACAACAGUUGGAAACGACUGCUAAUACCGCAUAAUGUCUACGGACCAAAGGGGGCUUCGGCUCUCGCCUUUAGAUUGGCCCAAGUGGGAUUAGCUAGUUGGUGAGGUAAUGGCUCACCAAGGCGACGAUCCCUAGCUGGUUUGAGAGGAUGAUCAGCCACACUGGGACUGAGACACGGCCCACACUCCUACGGGAGGCAGCAGUGGGGAAUAUUGCACAAUGGGCGCAAGCCUGAUGCACCCAUGCCGCGUGUGUGAAGAAGGCCUUCGGGUUGUAAAGCACUUUCAGUCAGGAGGAAAGGUUAGUAGUUAAUACCUGCUAGCUGUGACGUUACUGACAGAAGAAGCACCGGCUAACUCCGUGCCAGCAGCCGCGGUAAUACGGAGGGUGCGAGCGUUAAUCGGAAUUACUGGGCGUAAAGCGUACGCAGGCGGUUUGUUAAGCGAGAUGUGAAAGCCCCGGGCUCAACCUGGGAACUGCAUUUCGAACUGGCAAACUAGAGUGUGAUAGAGGGUGGUAGAAUUUCAUGUGUAGCGGUGAAAUGCGUAGAGAUCUGAAGGAAUACCGAUGGCGAACGCAGCCACCUGUGUCAACACUGACGCUCAUGUACGAAAGCGUGGGGAGCAAACAGGAUUAUAUACCCUGGUACUCA
rnacentral:rRNA from 1 species